AGGCUGCUGUUGCUGCCUUCACGAGGUGCCACAAAUAUCGUAAUUUUCUCCACAAAGCACGGCAACGUAGUUUUUUUUGGGGAAAAAGAAGGGGGGGCUUGAUCCUCCUUUUUUGGGAAAGAUAGUCAAUUAUAUGAGUAAUGUUAUAUCCUGAACAUUACAUGGAUGCCUACUGUUCGGCUGUCUUUACUCUCAAAUAGGCUAAUCCAACAUUUAAAUGGUAGUAGUUAAGGUAUCGAUCAGAUCUUAUUCACUGUCUUUUACUACUUCCCACUUUAAUUCCUUGAUUUUUUCCCAUCAAUCAUUAUUCUUUGUGAUUUUUCUGCCCACAAUUUCAAUGUCCAACGAGUUCUAGGUUUACGUUCAAUUUCAGAAGAGGGGGGUUUACGAGAAGCCCAUGAAGGCAGCAUUACAGAGGAUGUGCUCCACACCUGAAACUAAGCUGUUUAUUAAUCUCAGCAAAGAAAGAGCUGCCUUCUUCUGCAUACAUAAAUGUUAAGUAUUUACUUAGAUGAAACCAUCAACAUCUAUUUUGAAUCCAGAAGAAUUAAUCAGAUUGUUCUUGGCCAUUUUAUCCCGUUCUCCCCUGGCCUGCACAAACUGGGACCCUCCCCACAUUUGGUUCCUGUGAUUUUGAUCUUUUUACUGUAAUGCUUGGCCUCAUUCCAGACCUCCUCUGAUGGCUGUGGUUGCUCAUUUUUAUUAUUACUAUUAGCUAUUAACAAAAUUGAGUUCUGCCAACUAAUUUGCUUGUAAUGGAUGUUUAAGUUGCCACACACUUUGUUUCUGUCUGCUUGCUAACGUGUGUGUGUAUAUAUAUAUAUAUUGGCUUUUAAUGAAAAACCUUCACUCUCUGCUAAACAGUCUUGCCCUGCAUUAGAAAACUACAGUUAGAACAACCAAAUAGACCAGUUAGAAGAAAACACAAAAUUUGUCAAAAUAAUAAAGUAUUUAGUAUUCAUGAUUGUCAAAAAUUAUAAAAAUACAUCUAAUACAGACGAACAAUUGUAUAAAAUAUUCCUAAAAAAUAUCGGAAAAACUUAUCUCUAAACAACAUUCACAGGAAAUAAUCUGCUCAAAAUGUAUGCAAAUUUACACAAAACUCCCUAAAUUAUUGCAUUAAAUAUUUGGGUUAAGAUAAGAUCAUCUUUUUAAAAAAGCAAGGUAAGGUAAUUAGUGUGUGAGUGUGCAUAUACAGUACAGGUUGAUAAUCUUAACAAUGUUCAUAUAAGAAAUUAUACAUAUCAUUUAGCAUAUAAAGAGCUUUUAUAAGGAAUGUAAUAUGAAAAUAUCCAUAAAAUAUGUCAGUUAGGGGUCAUCAGUUUACUAAAUUAUAGAAAACGAGUCCCUUAAGGACAACUGAGCUACACCAUCGACCUGCUGUCAAGUUAGAAGAGAUGCAGAGUAAUCACUCACUCACUCAAACACUGUGGGUCUGCUCUUUUCCAUAGAUAUGCAAUUUGUAAAACGACCUUUGCCACUGCCGAUUUUAAUGAUGUCUGCAUGCAAACGUGUGUAACUCCUCCGACAGGUGUUUCACAUUCAUCAAGGCAACAAGACACAGUGGCAACCUCAGUAACACACACAGUACCAAGAAACCUCACAAACAGGUAUUUUAUCCCACAAACUACUCUGCUCAAAGAUGUUGAUAGAUCUUCAAUCUAAGUCUUUGUCCAACAACUCUGCCACAUCUGGAUUUGUCUGGGAUCAAUUUGAUUUUGACCAGUGUACCGACCAAAAACGGGGCGUAUAUAUAUGGGCUUUUUGUAUAGCGCUGUGCUUUGCUCUUGGUUUCCCUGCAUCUGUUGCCAUCCUCUGGGAGAUGUUUAAGACACACAGGAGAGGAACUCCCUUCACACCAUACAGUUUUUUCGUACUGAACUGCACCGUCAUGGAUGUUGUCUUCUUGGCUUUCAUCCCACCUGGAUUGUUAAAUCAUUUGAUCUGGAAGAUUUGGCCAAUUGAGGCAACUUGGAACGGUUUUUACGCCUUGAACAUGUGCGGGAGACCCCUUCUGAUGACUUGUAUGUGUCUGGACUGUUUCGUGGCCGUGGUUCAUCCCAUCACCUACCACAAGAGGAAGAGUCUGACUCCCAGGGUGGUGAUGGCUGGCAUUGUUUGGACUUUAACUGUUGCCUCUGGGAUUGCAUACUUUCUUUUUUACAAGUUACACUUCUCCAUGUUUGUCACUGGGCCAUUUAUAAUAGCUAUUGUAACAAUUGGAAUCUGUGAUUCUUUCAUCCUCCAUACACUAAUUAAGUCUGACCGUGGCAAAAAAAACAUCCACCUGCAGAAGCAAAGAGCCAUUCAGACCCUCAUCAACAGCUUGGUGAUGACAGUCUUCUCUUACCUUCCUCCAGUAGUUCUGCUAACUAGUGCAAAAUACCUGAUCAGCAGUCACAGUACCUUAGUAUGUAUUAUUGCUAUCCCGAUUACCCUUACUUCCAGUUCGGGAUCUGCUGUCCUGCCUAUUCUCGAUCUAAAUAAUCGGGGGAAAUUGGGUCGUUUCAAGUUUGGAUGCUGCAGGAAGUCUUAAGUCUUUCCUCUUACAAAAUCAGGUGCUGUAGAAGCUUUAAAAAAAACUUUCACAAGUCGAGUUUCAGGUACGUGAAUAAAAUGUGAAUUAAAAUGGAAAAUUGGAAAUUGUCAUUUUGACAUGUUUUUAUUCUUUCUUUGUUUUAAUUUAUUUAAAGGUCCAGUGUGUGACAUUAAGGAGGAUCUAUUGGCAUAAAUGGAAUAUAAUAUCCAUAGGCAUGUUUUCAUUAGUGUAUAAUCACCUUAAAAUAAGAAUUGUUGUGUUUUUGUUACCUUAGAAUGAGCCUUUUAUAUCUACAGACAAUGUGUGUCGCCUUCCAGGGAGUCGGCCAUUUUAAACCGACAUGUAACGGUAGCCCAGGAGGGACAAACCAAACAUUUGCGUUUUUCGCGGCCACCGUAGUUUCGCACUUGGAAGGGGAGGGUGAAGCGAAAUCCUACACGCUGGUCCUUUAAUGUUCUGUUCUUGUAUGUUAGUGCUCAUUUACUCCUCUAUGGUAUAUGUCUGUUUGCAUUAAUGUUUUGUCCCUAAUAAAAUAAUGAUAAUGAUAAAAAUAAUGAAUUAAGUAACUUUGGAAACCAAACUAUGACAACCAUAGUUCUCUUAUGUACUAAAAUCUGUAUUUUUAAGUAGACUUAAAUUAAUGUUAAUAAUGUAAUUAUAAAUGAAUAGUUGAAUGUCUUACAAAGUAAAACUUACAAUAAAGCUGUUGAACCCA